AGACAAACUCCAGAAGAACUUUGACAAACUUCAGAAGGACUUUGACAAACUUCAGAAGAACUUUGAGAAACUUCAGAAGAACUUUGACAAUCUUCAGGAACAAUUUGAUGAUAUCUGCAAAAGAAUUGGUAAAUUUCUCUGCCAAUCUUUUACUCCAAAGACAUUUAAAUAACCACUUCCGUGGUGUCUUUUAAUAUUCUCUAUUUUUUCCUUGUUUGUUGGUUUUUUAUCUACAUGCCAUUUGUUGGCUUUCUCUCUCCUGGACGUCUACUUUUCUCUACCAGUGGUUUUGUUUAUGAACUCCUCUCCAUUUCUGUUUUCCUACCUUCCAUUCUUUCCCAUUCAUACUUUUUCCAUUUUAUGUUACUUCUCUAUAAAAUUCAUCUUCUAUCACCCAGAAUCUUGACAGAGUUUCAUUGUGAAGUUUGUAAGACCAAGGAGAUGAGACUUAUCUGUAUAUGGUUUACAAUCUAUAUUUUUUUCUGG